AUGCAGCUGAAUCGACCCAAGAGCGCGCAUCUCAUCAGCUCCAGUCCGCACAAUUCAUCCUCUUAUUCCAGCCAGUUCAAAAGCAUGCGCUUCUCAUACCACAUCAGCAGCGGUUUACCCAGUCCACAGCCUGCCCUGCGCAGAUCAGGCCCAUCCACCACCAGUCCACGGCUGCUAACUAAGAGUCUGUCCCUUGAGCCAGGCCCCUGCCUCGGAGCCCACGAGACCGCACAGCGCCUCUGCUCUGACCCUGGACCCCUGGAAACACAGCACUGCAAUGGCACAGGUGAGGAUGGACCUCAGGACGUCCCGCCUCCACCCCCAAAAACACGCCCACCUUUACCUGGGCCAAAGCCUCAAGUGCCCCCGAAACCUCCUCAUCUACAGCAGCAGAGCGCUCGAAGGCCACGCCCCCCGGAUAAACCCCUCCCACCUCCACCCUCCCGCCCACUCCCCGCCGAUCCCCGCCAAUCACACGCCACCUUACCGAGAGCAGAGGGAAGCUCCUCCCCCACUUGUGUCCUCUCGCUCAUCGAGAAGUUUGAGAGGUGAGAGAUCACCAUCAGUCGAGCGCUUGUCACUGGAGACGCUUUUUAGAUUAUUAUUCAUAACUACCAAUCUAUUUAUUAAUCAAUAUUUUUGACUUGUUUUCUAGCAAAAAAUAUUUAAAUAUCCUAAAAACAAUAUGUACUUGAGAAGCAGAAUUGCGUAAUAAUAUUAAGAUUUUUUUUUUUAGUAGAAUAUAGCUAGAGUUUCUUAUUUUUUACCGGAAAUCUUACUAAAUUAAGCUUUUUAUUUACUUUGGCUUUAAAU
rnacentral:lncRNA from 1 species